rnacentral:rRNA from 1 species
GGCCAGACUCCUACGGGAGGCAGCAGUGGGGAAUAUUGCACAAUGGGGGAAACCCUGAUGCAGCGACGCCGCGUGAGUGAAGAAGUAUUUCGGUAUGUAAAGCUCUAUCAGCAGGGAAGAAAAUGACGGUACCUGACUAAGAAGCCCCGGCUAACUACGUGCCAGCAGCCGCGGUAAUACGUAGGGGGCAAGCGUUAUCCGGAUUUACUGGGUGUAAAGGGAGCGUAGACGGCAUGGCAAGUCAGAUGUGAAAGCCCGGGGCUCAACCCCGGGACUGCAUUUGAAACUGUCAGGCUGGAGUGCAGGAGAGGUAAGUGGAAUUCCUAGUGUAGCGGUGAAAUGCGUAGAUAUUAGGAGGAACACCAGUGGCGAAGGCGGCUUACUGGACUGUAACUGACGUUGAGGCUCGAAAGCGUGGGGAGCAAACAGGAUUAGAUACCCUUGUAU